UAGGGAAUCUUCGGCAAUGGGGGGAACCCUGACCGAGCAACGCCGCGUGAGUGAAGAAGGUUUUUGGAUCGUAAAGCUCUGUUGUUAAGGAAGAACGAGUGUGAGAAUGGAAAGUUCAUACUGUGACGGUACUUAACCAGAAAGGGACGGCUAACUACGUGCCAGCAGCCGCGGUAAUACGUAGGUCCCGAGCGUUGUCCGGAUUUAUUGGGCGUAAAGCGAGCGCAGGCGGUUAGAUAAGUCUGAAGUUAAAGGCAGUGGCUCAACCAUUGUAGGCUUUGGAAACUGUUUAACUUGAGUGCAGAAGGGGAGAGUGGAAUUCCAUGUGUAGCGGUGAAAUGCGUAGAUAUAUGGAGGAACACCGGUGGCGAAAGCGGCUCUCUGGUCUGUAACUGACGCUGAGGCUCGAAAGCGUGGGGAGCGAACAGG
rnacentral:rRNA from 1 species